rnacentral:rRNA from 1 species
AUAGAAUUUUAUAUUAACUUUACCUAGCGGUUAAUGCUGGUCUUUUGUUAAUAUUUGGUUGGGAGGAUUAUUAAAUUUAACAAACUUUAUAUCAUUAUAAACUUUGAUUUAAGAAAAUAUAAUGACCUUCAAUUUGAAAUAGUUAGAGUAAAUUACCUUAGGGAUAACAGCGUAAUAUUUUUUUAUAGACCUUAUAGAAAAAAAUGGUUGCGACCUCGAUGUUGAAUUAAGAUAAAUUUUAAAUGCAGGAGUUUAAUAAUUAAGUCUG